UCCUACGGGAGGCAGCAGUGGGGAAUAUUGCACAAUGGGCGCAAGCCUGAUGCAGCGACGCCGCGUGGGGGAUGACGGCCUUCGGGUUGUAAACCUCUUUCAGUCACGACGAAGCGCAAGUGACGGUAGUGACAGAAGAAGCACCGGCCAACUACGUGCCAGCAGCCGCGGUAAUACGUAGGGUGCGAGCGUUGUCCGGAAUUACUGGG
rnacentral:rRNA from 1 species